AAGUGCAUGGGUCUCAUCAUAGAGACAGAGGAAAUAAAAAACAUCCUUCUCCUUAUGAGUCUUUCACAUCCUCCUAUAAUCCAGGGGAAGUGUAUGGAACUCAUUAUAGAGGCAGAGGAAAGAAAAAGGAAUAUCACCGUUUUCCUUCUGAGGCUCUCCCAUCCACUGAUAAUAUAUUUCCACCGUCGUAUCAUGAUUUCCCCAAAAUACCUCCAUAUCCUUUCACUGUAACAGG